GAGUUUGAUCCUGGCUCAGGAUGAACGCUGGCGGCAUGCCUAACACAUGCAAGUUGAACGAGAAGUUCUGGAGGGAGUCUUCGGACGAACGAAGGGAUGGAAAGUAGCGAACGGGUGAGUAACGCGUGGGCAACCAACCUUACACAGGGGGAUAACACAGAGAAAUCUGUGCUAAUACCGCAUAAGCGCACAGUAUCACAUGAUACGGUGUGAAAAACUCUGGUGGUGUAAGACGGGCCCGCGUCUGAUUAGCUAGUUGGUGGGGUAAAAGCCUACCAAGGCGACGAUCAGUAGCCGACCUGAGAGGGUGAUCGGCCACAUUGGGACUGAGACACGGCCCAAACUCCUACGGGAGGCAGCAGUGGGGGAUAUUGCACAAUGGAGGAAACUCUGAUGCAGCAAUGCCGCGUGAAGGAAGACGGUUUUCGGAUUGUAAACUUCUAUCAGCAGGGAAGAAAAUGACGUACCUGACUAAGAGCCCCGC
rnacentral:rRNA from 1 species